UUAAGUUCAGCGGGUAGUCCUACCUGAUUUGAGGUCAGAGGUCAUAAAGUUGUCUCUCAAGUGAGACGGUUAGAAGCUCGCCAAACGCUUCACGGUCGCGGCGUAGAUAUUAUCACACCGAGAGCCGAUCCGCAAGGAAUCAAGCUAAUGCAUUUAAGAGGAGCCGACCGAUCAAGGCCGACAAGCCUCCAAGUCCAAGC
rnacentral:misc_RNA from 1 species